CCCUUAGAUGUUCUGGGCCGCACGCGCGCUACAAUGAUGAAUUCAACGAGUUUAUAACCUUGGUUGAAAAGCCUGGGUAAUCUUUUGAACUUUCGUCGUGAUGGGGCUAGACCCUUGCAAUUAUUGGUCUCCAACGAGGAAUUCCUAGUAAACGCAAGUCAUCAGCUUGCAUUGAUUACGUCCCUGCCCUUUGUACACACCGCCCGUCGCACCUACCGAUUGAAUGGUCCGGUGAAAUCUUCGGACUGUGACUUUGAUUUGUUAACUCAAAACGCUGUUAUGGGAAGUUGAUUAAACCUUACCAUUUAGAGGAAGGUGAAGUCGUANCA
rnacentral:rRNA from 1 species